GCGGAGGUGGCCGAGUCAGGCCAAAGGCGGCGGACUUAAGAUCCGCUCUCGUAGGAGUUCGUGGGUUCGAAUCCCUCCCUCCGCA
rnacentral:tRNA from 1 species